ACCGGCCCUGCGCUCUCUCGCAUUGUCUCUCUCGUUUGUGUUCGUUGUAACCACCAACUAGUCAACCCCUUUUCGCUGUGUUUCGUUCGUUCGGAUAAUUACGCUAUCCACGCGUGAUCGUCGUUCGGAUGACUCUGGCGCAUUUUGUGCAGGGCAUAGAAAUACUCGUUGAUUUUGAGAUCAAGCAUUGUGUGUAGAGUUUGUUUGCGUAGUUAGACCUAGUUGGGUGUUUGACUUUUGAUCUGUUCCGUGUUUUUGUUUUUAUAAUUACGCUAUCAGCGUGUAUCCGAAGUUUCGAUAACCGUGGCGCAUGUUGCCGAGCGCAUAGAAAUACUCGUUCGCUUUGAGAUCAGACGUGCUGCACGCGAAGCUUCGCGUAGUUAGACCUAGUUGGCUGUUUGACUUUUCAUCUGUCGUGUGUGUUUUUAUAAUUAUGCUAUCCGUGUGUGUCUAAAGUUUCGAUAACCGUGACGCAUUUUGUGGAGUGCACAGGAAAACGCGCUGCUUCUGAGAUCAGGCGUUACAGAGCGAGUGUGGUAUGCUGGUAUAUUGGAGUUUUUAAGAGAACUAUUGGUCGAUGUUGGCAGACGUUGACUGACGUUGAACAGAAAGCUGUACAUUACGUGCAACCAGUACAUCGUAACGUUUAAAAUUGCCACGGGAUUAAACUCAAAGAAAUCGUCGAUAGUAAGUGAAAAAAUUCAUUUCGGUGGAGAGAAGAAUCAAGAAGAAAGUACGUAAUAACUUCUAACGUAACAUUUCGAUGAAUCCACCACUUUUCAAAUUAUUUGCGAAUAUAUUUGAUUUUCUAAAAAUACUUUUUCAUCUUACGAAAACUCACAUAGCAGCGAUAGUUUCAGAAACUUUCUGAGCUUACUGUACUUGUAGGUGUAUUUACACAAUACUGCCGAGUUUAUUACCAGGUAUAAUUAAUCUCGAUCGUAUAAUUUCAGGCGAAAACAGGUAUCAGCAUUUCUGAUGAGACUACACGCGAUUGAAUUAUCUUUCCUGGUGGUUAAAGUGGAAAUUAGUUUAUCGUGUGUCUGGUGGACGGAAUGCUGAAUGUAAUGAGAUGUUUCGUAAUAACAUGUUAUUAAAGCAGUGAGUGUUGUUAAUGAACAUAGCAAAGUAUGACUGAAGAGAAAAUUUCAACAGUUUUAUUGGGGAAUCAGGAAUAUUUUUAUUAUAGUAUGUACCUUUGACAAACAUAGUGUGAUUUAUAAAAAUUUAUAUAAAAAAUUGUUUAAUUUGUAUUUCUUAUUAUUUCUUGGAUUUUCACUUUGAGAACCUUUCAGCCGUCAAUCGCACGCUCUUAGAAAUUCUACGUGCUUUAUCUUACAUCACGAGGAAAAGGAGUUUUCCAGCCACUCUCUUGGAUAGAAUAAUUCUAAUGAUUAUGCUAUUUAAUAACAAUGCCGUUGAGCACUUAAUGUAUUAUUUUUGAUCAUUUUAAGUAAAAAAAAAUUUCCUAGAAAGCGUAAUUCAAAAUUGACCUUCCAUUGAUAUUUUUGGAUUAUGGAUAAUUAGUAUAGUUUAAGUUAGAAUAUAUUAGAUCAAUUUAAAAAUAUUUACACAAAU